UGUCUUGAUAUAAAGAUCUCAUGAGGAGGGUGGAUUGCAUAGCCUGAAAAUUUCUGGUUAAAGUGACAGGAACUCUAGAUCCGGUUAGGAAAUGGAGACCUCACGCUUUGUUCUUGUUUUCUGCGUGAUUUGCAUCGCCCUGUGCGCCGCGAAGCAGUGCGUCAUCAAGGGUCAAGUGAACACGAGGCUGCAAUGGUACGGGUACAUGCUGCAGAAAACCUUCCAAACGAACGACUCUCGCGUCGAAUACCAGAUCACGUAUCCAGAGAAAGAAUGCUGUGCCAACUUGUUGAUUUAUUAUGACGAUCAAAUAUCACAGCUAACGGAAUCCAUGUCUUGUCAAGAACGCGUGGAUGUGCUUCCUAAAGACAAUUACCAAAUCAUUCCUUUGACCACCAAGAGUGCGGCAAAAGGGUGCAGUCUGUACCGGGACAACGAAGGGACGAACUUUUACGUCUGCACAGGAGAAAGGACGUUGAAUUCGAAUGGACCGCGUACGUGGUAUUUCGCAAUCAGUCGAUGCGGCGCAUCUCAGAACCAAGGCCUGUUGAACAUGAAUUAUUACUUCAACGUCACAGGACAUUACGGCAAGUGCGACGCAGAUCCGCUUUCGAAAACGAUUUAUCCGGAAAACUAGACUUGAUGUAUUAUCUUCCAGAGAUAUACGGCAAGUACACAUGAUUUCAAAUUGGAGAUAGAUAUGGCUGAUGUGGAUGCAGCUGAAGAAUUUUGCAUUUAUCAAAGUGCUUUUGGGUGUUUACAAGAAUUUGAAGAGGAAUGUAAAAACAUUAUGUUUGAAAAUUCACUGUUGUUGCCAAUAAAUCAUAGUGAAGCACUUGCAAAUGCUUUGUAUGAAUGGCUCAUAUCUUACUUUAAAGCAUGAACAUGAUUGCUGAUGAACACCAUGUACAAAUACAUUUAACGAUAUGAAAAAGAGUUAAACAAUAUCAUUCUUUGUAAAUUGGGCAUACAAGUAUGUUUUCAGAAAGUUGAAUUCAUUAAAGUAAAAUUAUCAAAAUAAACUUGGAAUAAAGUUAACAAAGGAAACUUAUCUUUAAUGAUAGAUGAUGGAAGGUCAGUACAGAAUGAUUUAAAUUUCCAAAAUCAAAUUAAAAUUAUUUACAAUUGCUCUUGGCCUUUAAGUUUCCAGUUAUGUACCAACUUAUCUCCCCUGCAUCUUUAGUCUAGUGUUCUACCACGUACAUGUACUGCUUUAAUUUGACAGCGAAGCCUACAUGUACUUAACUGUCGUAUCUUUCUCAAUGAAAGUCUAUAUACAACCUCAAAAAAAUCUUAACCCAGUCUGGGUUAUGUACAUAACCCUGAAGAGUGUAACUGUUUUAUGUACAUAUCAUGAUCUAGUAAAUAGUAAACAAAGAAGGUACAGUUUCCUUCAAUAUUUUCCCUAUAAUUCACAAGUUGUUUAAUUCUCAUAAAAAUACACAUAUGCCAUCUUGAACAUGUGUGUAUAUAAAAUGUCAAGUUAUACACUUUUAUCUUGUUUCAAAAAAUAAUUAUGACUUCAACACUUUGGCAUAUUUCUAAGAUUUGGUCAAAAAUGAUGAAAAAUGGCACAUUUUCUCA